UACGUAGGGUGCAAGCGUUAAUCGGAAUUACUGGGCGUAAAGCGUGCGCAGGCGGUUUUGUAAGUCUGACGUGAAAUCCCCGGGCUUAACCUGGGAAUGGCAUUUGGGACUGCAAGGCUGGAGUGUGGCAGAGGAGACUGGAAUUCCUGGUGUAGCAGUGGAAUGCGCAGAUAUCAGGAGGAACACCGAUGGCGAAGGCAGAAUCUCUGGGCCGUAACUGACGCUGAGGAGCGAAAGCAUGGGGAGCGAACAGG
rnacentral:rRNA from 1 species